AUUGAACGCUGGCGGCAGGCUUAACACAUGCAAGUCGAGCGGGGGAAGGUGCUUCGGCACUGACCUUAGCGGCGGACGGGUGAGUAAUGCUUAGGAAUCUGCCUAUUAGUGGGGGACAACAUCUCGAAAGGGAUGCUAAUACCGCAUACGUCCUACGGGAGAAAGCAGGGGAUCACUUGUGACCUUGCGCUAAUAGAUGAGCCUAAGUCGGAUUAGCUAGUUGGUGGGGUAAAGGCCUACCAAGGCGACGAUCUGUAGCGGGUCUGAGAGGAUGAUCCGCCACACUGGGACUGAGACACGGCCCAGACUCCUACGGGAGGCAGCAGUGGGGAAUAUUGGACAAUGGGGGGAACCCUGGUCCAGCCAUGCCGCGUGUGUGAAGAAGGCCUUAUGGUUGUAAAGCACUUUAAGCGAGGAGGAGGCUCUUUUGGUUAAUACCCAAGAUGAGUGGACGUUACUCGCAGAAUAAGCACCGGCUAACUCUGUGCCAGCAGCCGCAGUAA
rnacentral:rRNA from 1 species